GCAGCAGCAAAGGCCAGCCAAGGGACAUCGUAUGUCAGCUAUCUCGCGUCGCCACGAAAACACGACAGUCGUUCGUCAUGCCUUGGAUAUAACAGCAAAUCCUCCACGGCACCCGCUUUAUAUAACGCAAGAAGGCAGCUGCAAGGACACGAGGAUGUGAAAGAGCCAAUGCAGCGCGACUUCACGUAGUGCAGAGGAGCCAAUGCCAAAAAAUCAAAAUACAUUGGCAUGUUAUUUGGACAAGAAAACUAGGACAACCCAGGACAUGCAUUUCUCAGCACCCAGUCAACUGCCAAAAGUGACUCAAACACAGGCCACCAGUAAGUGGACAUCAGUUGCAAUUUCACAUUAUGCAGUUGGCGGCUGCCUUGUACGGAGGCUUUUUUUUUUAAUGAGAUGGUGAUGUCGUUCUAAAGUACAUUUUGACUACAAAGGUGCGAUCAUGUCUCACAGAGGCAUAUAUGGUUGCUAUUUUCUGCGAGGGACGUGUUCUCGUGUUCGUGAAGCAUUUGUGUUUGGCAGUAUUGUCGCCCAAUGAGUCGGAUAUAAACACUAACUCGCCACUGCCGGCAAGUAGUUGCGAGAAACGCAUUAUGACGCUGUAAAGUUAUUUCAUUAAUUCGAAGGAAAGUUUUGUAGCAGGAAAAAAGGUUGC